rnacentral:lncRNA from 1 species
CUCAGUCUGUUCUUUGCACACUGUAGCCACACCCUCUGACUUCCUUCUGUCCAAUACUUUAAUAUAGAUCCUUAACCCUUUACUGUGGUCUGCUCAUACUUCUCAACCAAGCCCCUGUCUACCUCAUCAUCAUCAUUCGGUCCUCAGUCACUUCAGUACUUUUCACCAUCUGACUCAUCGAGGCUCUUCAUGCUGUAAAGCAGUUCAACUUCUCCAGGAAACAGAGUCAGGCAGAGCUUAGAGUUCCGGAUGUUUAUCAGGGAGUGGUGCUUGAGUCAACACCCGUGCAAAGGACUGGGCUGAGGCAGAAUUGGGAAGAGGGAGAAAUCCAGCUGAGAUGCAAGCCAGACAGUGCCCGCCAACAGCACAGGGUGCUCAGAAACUUGAAACAGAACACAGAGUGCAUUGCUGGUGUCUGUAAACAAGGCCUUCCAGAUUAAACUCAGUUGGCUUCUCUACCAGGUCAAGUUCCCCCUACGCCAUCAUUCCAUCCUGGCAUAGCCUUUAUCAUACUUCACAGUUGCUUGGGAGUUGACAAUUCAGCAGUACUGAUCUACUUGUAGCUUACAGACCCUCUGAGUGGUCAUGCUGAUCCAGAUCCAGUGCUUGAGUUGGUCCACCCCAACAACUACUCCAUCUAAGAGCUGCUGGAACCGGUGGAGGAGCUGGUGAUACAAAACCAGAUUCAGGAACAAGUCAUCUACACUGAGGAUUAAAACCUGAAGCGUGGCUGUGAUGGAGGCUAGCACCUGCCACUGUGGAGCAGCCCCGAGGAGCCUAAAAGAUCCAUGCAGUUUCCGAGGGGAGACAAAGCACUAGCAGAGGAGUCUGCAGAGAUGACAGUGUCCAUGGGAAGAUGCUUUUUAAAAGUAGACUUGUGAAAUUGGAAGGAAAGAUGGCAGAACAGAGCCAGAUGCAUGGAAUAGAAUGGCCAAACUACAAAGGGCAAUGCCAUGGUCCAGGCUGUAGCCAGAGAGACAAUGAAUCUUUUUUUUUUUUUCAGUGUGGUAUUGAUGACUGCAAACUCACAUCUGAGAAUUAAAGACAUAGAAGGCUUUUGUGACAACCUCCAACAAAACAGUCUAGACAGUUAUUGAAGAGAACUCUUAAAAAAUGUGAUAAGGAUGCUGAAGAGUGGCUCUUCACAGUUCAUGGCUUCUGGUGGGGGUUGGGUAGGAGAAGGAAUCUGUUAUCUUCAAGGGGUUGGAUACUUGGAUUUUGACUGCAUCAGUAAAUAUAUUGGCAACACAAAUUGGAAUUGAUACUUGUUUUUUAAUCUUUUGAUUG